UAAAGAGCUCGUAGGUGGUUUGUCGCGUUGUCCGUGAAAUUCCCUGGCUCAACUGGGGGCGUGCGGGCGAUACGGGCAGACUGGAGUACUGCAGGGGAGACUGGAAUUCCUGGUGUAGCGGUGGAAUGCGCAGAUAUCAGGAGGAACACCGGUGGCGAAGGCGGGUCUCUGGGCAGUAACUGACGCUGAGGAGCGAAAGCGUGGGGAGCGAACAGGAUUAGAUACCGAGU
rnacentral:rRNA from 1 species